UGCGGAAUAUUGCACAAUGGGGGAAACCCUGAUGCAGCGACGCCGCGUGAGCGAUGAAGUAUUUCGGUAUGUAAAGCUCUAUCAGCAGGGAAGAAUUAAGACGGUACCUGACUAAGAAGCACCGGCUAAAUACGUGCC
rnacentral:rRNA from 1 species